rnacentral:rRNA from 1 species
AAGUCCCGCAACGAGCGCAACCCUUGUCUUUAGUUGCCAUCAUUAAGUUGGGCACUCUAGAGAGACUGCCAGGGAUAACCUGGAGGAAGGUGGGGAUGACGUCAAAUCAUCAUGCCCCUUAUGCUUAGGGCUACACACGUGCUACAAUGGGUAGUACAGAGGGUUGCCAAGCCGUAAGGUGGAGCUAAUCCCUUAAAGCUACUCUCAGUUCGGAUUGUAGGCUGAAACUCGCCUACAUGAAGCUGGAGUUACUAGUAAUCGCAGAUCAGAAUGCUGCGGUGAAUGCGUUCCCGGGUCUUGUACACACCGCCCGUCACACCACGGGAGUUGGAGACGCCCGAAGCCGAUUAUCUAACCUUUUGGAAGAAGUCGUCGAAGGUGGAAUCAAUAACUGGGGUGAAGUCGUAACAAGGUAGCCGUAUCGGAAGGUGCGGCUGGAUCACCUCCUUUCUAAGGA